UGUUGGCACAGGAUAAUGUUCAGCUUGGAAAGUGGAGUAAGUGGUUGCCUUUGCACCCUUUGCUGCUAACAUCCGUUACCCCCACUUUGACAGCUGCUUCGAAGUUUCCAGUUGGAGAGGAACAAAAUAAGGUUGGGUCGUGAGUCAAUGGCAGUGGAAAGCGACCCUUGGAAUGGAAUCUGCUGCCACCUCAGCUGCCUCCACUGGAUCUGGAUUGUGUGAGAGCCUACACACUCUGGAGGCUGGUGCUCUCUCCUCAUCUCUGCUGCCCCCUGGCUAUGGGAAACACCAGAAGCUGUCCCAUGCCAUUAGACUCAAGGAACACCAUCAAUGCUCACCCUGUCUCUCCUUCAAGUGUCCAUCAACUUCUCCAACUGUACAAUGUAACAAAAGAGAUGUGGCAAAAAUGUCUGAAAACUGUAAUUUGUAGGCGUCUGCCCCGGAAGUCCAGAGUGUACAGGUCAGAUAAUGAGGCUUAGAGAAAAAGAAGCAACAGAGGAGAUGUCUCAGAAGGUAGAACUCUAGGAGGAGGGAAUGGUUUGCUCUUUGGGUAAUGGAUAACACAUGAUAUGGAAGGGUAAAUGCUCCUGCUCUCAGAAAUCCGGUCAAAUAUGAUCCAUUAUUUGCCGGAAUAAACCUAUAAAAGUUAAUUAAAUUUCGUUAUCUAUGACCAUGUCUUAACAUAACAGAGAAGCUUGCUAAUUGAAGGAAAACAUAAUAUAUGUAUAGACAGCAAUGGAACUCUUACAUAUUUCCUCUCUUAUCGGUUCUGCUGAGCAGGAUUGCAUUUUCUCUCAUCUGUAAGAAACUUUAAUAAUGGAGGAAGCUAUAGCAAUGAAGGUCUGUGGGCACAUUGACUACAAUUCUGUUGUUCUUUUGUGAUGAUUUGCCUACAGCAUUCUUAGAAAGAAGAAUAUCGAUGCUUUGGCAUGACUCUCCUCAAGCAACUACAAUGUGUUUAAGUGUGUAGCAUGCUCUCAAGUAAUUUCCCUUGAAGAUAGCAUGGGAGACUCAUAA